rnacentral:rRNA from 1 species
UACGUAGGGACCGAGCGUUGUCCGGAUUCAUUGGGCGUAAAGAGCUCGUAGGCGGCUGUUCAAGUCGAACGUGAAAACUCGGAGCUCAACUCCGAGCCUGCGUUCGAGACUGGAUGGCUAGAGUCUGGUAGGGGGAUCUGGAAUUCCUGGUGUAGCGGUGGAAUGCGCAGAUAUCAGGAGGAACACCGGUGGCGAAGGCGGGUCUCUGGGCCUGUCCUGACGCUCAGGCGCGAAAGCUAGGGGAGCGAACGGG